UCAGUACGGCGAGUGAGCGGCAAAGCUCAAUUUGAAAUCUAGUACCUUCGGUGCUCGAGUUGUAAUUUGAAGGUAGUUUUCUGGUGCUGGCCCUUGUCUAUGUUCCUUGGAACAGGACGUCAUAGAGGGUGAGAAUCCCGUCUGAUGGGGUGUCCAGUGCUUUGUAGAUUUCUACCGAAGAGUCGAGUUGUUUGGGAAUGCAGCUCUAAGUGGGUGGUAAAUUCCAUCUAAAGCUAAAUACUGGCGAGAGACCGAUAGCGAACAAGUACAGUGAUGGAAAGAUGAAAAGAACUUUGAAAAGAGAGUGAAAAAGUACGUGAAAUUGUUGAAAGGGAAGGGUAUUGGAUCAGACUUGGUGUCUUGUGAUUAUCUUCCCUUCUUGGGUUGUGCACUCGCAUUUC
rnacentral:rRNA from 1 species